UGUAUAAUGGGUCAGCGACUUAUAUUCAGUGGCAAGGUUAACCAUCUAGGGGAGCCGUAGGGAAACCGAGUCUUAACUGGGCGCCAUAGUCUCUGGAUAUAGACCCGAAACCGAGUGAUCUAGCCAUGGGCAGGUUGAAGGUUGAGUAACAUCAACUGGAGGACCGAACCGACUAAUGUUGAAAAAUUAGCGGAUGACUUGUGGCUAGGGGUGAAAGGCCAAUCAAACUCGGAGAUAGCUGGUUCUCCCCGAAAGCUAUUUAGGUAGCGCCUCGGACGAAUACUACUGGGGGUAGAGCACUGUUAAGGCUAGGGGGUCAUCCCGACUUACCAACCCUUUGCAAACUCCGAAUACCAGUAAGUACUAUCCGGGAGACACACGGCGGGUGCUAACGUCCGUCGUGGAGAGGGAAACAACCCAGACCGCCAGCUAAGGUCCCAAAUUACAGCUAAGUGGGAAACGAUGUGGGAAGGCUUAGACAGCUAGGAUGUUGGCUUAGAAGCAGCCAUCAUUUAAAGAAAGCGUAAUAGCUCACUAGUCGAGUCGGCCUGCGCGGAAGAUGUAACGGGGCUAAGUUGUAAACCGAAGCUGCGGCAAUGUUCUUUGAACAUUGGGUAGGGGAGCGUUCUGUAAGCCGUUGAAGGUGUGUUGUAAAGCAUGCUGGAGGUAUCAGAAGUGCGAAUGCUGACAUGAGUAACGACAAGGGGGGUGAAAAACCUCCCCGCCGGAAGACCAAGGGUUCCUGUCCAACGUUAAUCGGGGCAGGGUAAGUCGACCCCUAAGGCGAGGCCGAAAGGCGUAGUCGAUGGGAAACGGGUUAAUAUUCCCGUACUUCUUACAAUUGCGAUGGGGGGACGGAGAAGGCUAGGUGGGCCUGGCGACGGUUGUCCAGGUUCAAGUGCGUAGGCU
rnacentral:rRNA from 1 species